AUUGAACGCUGGCGGCAGGCUUAACACAUGCAAGUCGAGCGGGGUGAUGGUGCUUGCACUAUCACUUAGCGGCGGACGGGUGAGUAAUGCUUAGGAAUCUGCCUAUUAGUGGGGGACAACAUCUCGAAAGGGAUGCUAAUACCGCAUACGUCCUACGGGAGAAAGCAGGGGAUCACUUGUGACCUUGCGCUAAUAGAUGAGCCUAAGUCGGAUUAGCUAGUUGGUGGGGUAAAGGCCUACCAAGGCGACGAUCUGUAGCGGGUCUGAGAGGAUGAUCCGCCACACUGGGAAUGAGACACGGGCAAGACUCCUACGGGAGGCAGCAGUGGGGAAUAUUGGACAAUGGGGGGAACCCUGAUCCAGCCAUGCCGCGUGUGUGAAGAAGGCCUUAUGGUUGUAAAGCACUUUAAGCGAGGAGGAGGCUCUUUUGGUUAAUACCCAAGAUGAGUGGACGUUACUCGCAGAAUAAGCACCGGCUAACUCUGUGCCAGCCGCCGCGGUAACAC
rnacentral:rRNA from 1 species